ensembl:lincRNA 1700021F13Rik RIKEN cDNA 1700021F13 gene
GGGGUCCACAGGAGGGCUUCCUGUGAACAAUCACAGGGACGGAUGUGUUUGACUCCAUCAAUCCCACCUUUCAAUCCACCGUGUGUCUCUGCACUUUUUGCCUUUGGCUUUCUAGGGGGGCCGUUGGCCCACAUCGAACUGGGCUUAGCUUUUCUGUUUCCAGAAUUUUCUUCCGUUGCUUCAGUUGCCAAUGGGAUCUGUCUUCUAGUCCGGUUUGCCACAACCAAGAAAGUUUAAGCUCAACAAAGUGAAGACCAGACAGUUGAAUGGGAAAAUGAAAAGGAGUGUGAACUAUCCUACAGGAGACAAGAAAAAAUGAGGCAGAGGAAGUGCCUUCGAACAACGAGCAAGGAAAGAAAGAAAAAAAUGAGAAUACCAGCUCGACAGUCCAGAAAUGCCUGGUAUUUGUGAGGUUUAAUUCCCAGUACUGGAGAAGUUUAAAUUAAAAUAUGUAUGUACAAGG